CCUACGGGAGGCAGCAGUAGGGAAUAUUGCUCAAUGGGGGAAACCCUGAAGCAGCAACGCCGCGUGGAGGAUGAAGGUUUUCGGAUUGUAAACCUCUUUAGGCGGGGAGCAAUGCCGGGCACGCGUGCCCGGAGGGAGAGUACCCGCAGAAUAAGCAUCGGCUAACUCCGUGCCAGCAGCCGCGGUAAUACGGAGGGGGCAAGCGUUAUCCGGAUUUACUGGGUGUAAAGGGGGCGCAGACGGCGAUGCAAGCCAGGAGUGAAAGCCCGGGGCCCAACCGCGGGACUGCUCUUGGAACUGGGUGGCUGGAGUGCAGGAGGGGCAGGCGGAAUUCCUGGUGUAGCGGUGAAAUGCGUAGAUAUCAGGAGGAACACCGGUGGCGAAGGCGGCCUGCUGGACUGCAACUGACGUUGAGGCCCGAAAGCGUGGGGAGCAAACAGGAUUAGAUACCCUAGUAGUC
rnacentral:rRNA from 1 species